UUUCCGUAGGUGAACCUGCGGAAGGAUCAUUACCACACCUAAAAAACUUUCCACGUGAACCGUAUCAAAACCCUUUUAUUGGGGGCUUCUGUCUGGUCUGGCUUCGGCUGGAUUGGGUGGCGGCUCUAUCAUGGCGACCGCUCUGAGCUUCGGCCUGGAGCUAGUAGCCCACUUUUUAAACCCAUUCUUAAUUACUGAACAAACUGUGGGGACGAAAGUCUCUGCUUUUAACUAGAUAGCAACUUUCAGCAGUGGAUGUCUAGGCUCGCACAUCGAUGAAGAACGCUGCGAACUGCGAUACGUAAUGCGAAUUGCAGGAUUCAGUGAGUCAUCGAAAUUUUGAACGCAUAUUGCACUUCCGGGUUAGUCCUGGGAGUAUGCCUGUAUCAGUGUCCGUACAUCAAACUUGGCUCCCUUCCUUCCGUGUAGUCGGUGGAUGGGGAUGCACAGACGUGAAGUGUCUUGCGACUGGGCUUCGGCUCGGCUGCGAGUCCUUUUAAAUGUACAGAACUGUACUUCUCUUUGCUCGAAAAGCGUUAUAUUACUGGUUGUGGAGGCUGCCUGUGCGGCAAGUCGGCGACCGGUUUGUUAACUGCGGCGUUUAAUGGAGGAGUGUUCGAUUCGCGGUAUGGAUGGCUUCGGCUGAACUGACGCUUAUUGAGUACUUUUCCUGCUGUGGUGGUACGAACUGGUGAACCGUAGCUGUGUUUGGCUUGGCUUUUGAACUGGCGAUGUGGUGCGAAGUAGAGUGACGGUUGUUCCGGCGCAAGCUGGAGUGACUGUCGAGGGUCGAUCCAUUUGGGAAAUUUUGUGUCUGUGCGACUUCGGUUGCGUGGGCAUCUCAAUUGGACCUGAUAUCAGGCAAGAUUACCCGCUGAACUUAA
rnacentral:rRNA from 1 species